CAAGUAAAUUGAGUGGUCGCUCUUCAUUUUUUUAGCUUUAGCUAAAACGUGGGGGGAGGAAAGUCCGAACACCCCCCGAUGCGAAUCGGGGAAGCGGGUGGUUGUUAACGGCAACCGAGUAUAAGUUAGAAAAGUUUUGUGCUUAAGGCAAAACUAUUUUAACCAAGCCCAGGGAAAGUGCCACAGAGACAAUACUACCAUUUCGAGGCCUUUGGCGCGGGAUGGGAAAGGUGAAAAGUAAAGGGUCCACCCUUUUCUCCUGGCGGUGACGCCAGCGAGCGGCAAACCCCACCCGGUGCAAGACCGUGCCGUUCUUAGGCUUUGUGCCCAAGAACGGAGAGUCGCUUGAGGCAGCUGGUGACAGCUGUCCCAGAUAGAUGGCCGCUGAAUCCGCCUGGCGCGGAGGAACAGAAUUCGGCUUACAGAUUUGCUUGCCCC
rnacentral:RNase_P_RNA from 1 species